rnacentral:rRNA from 1 species
GAUGAACGCUGGCGGCGUGCUUAACACAUGCAAGUCGAACGAAGCACUUUAUUUGUUUUCCUUCGGGACUGAUUAUUUUGUGACUGAGUGGCGGACGGGUGAGUAACGCGUGGGUAACCUGCCUUGUACAGGGGGAUAACAGUUGGAAACGGCUGCUAAUACCGCAUAAGCGCACAGCAUCGCAUGAUGCAGUGUGAAAAACUCCGGUGGUAUAAGAUGGACCCGCGUUGGAUUAGCUAGUUGGUGAGGUAACGGCCCACCAAGGCGACGAUCCAUAGCCGACCUGAGAGGGUGACCGGCCACAGUGGGACUGAGACACGGCCCAAACUCCUACGGGAGGCAGCAGUGGGGAAUAUUGCACAAUGGGCGAAAGCCUGAUGCAGCGACGCCGCGUGAGCGAAGAAGUAUUUCGGUAUGUAAAGCUCUAUCAGCAGGGAAGAUAAUGACGGUACCUGACUAAGAAGCACCGGCUAAAUACGUG